UACGUAGGGGGCUAGCGUUGUCCGGAAUCAUUGGGCGUAAAGAGCGUGUAGGCGGUCCGGUAAGUCCGCUGUGAAAGUCGGGGGCUCAACCCUCGAAUGCCGGUGGAUACUGUCGGGCUAGAGUGCGGAAGAGGCGAGUGGAAUUCCUGGUGUAGCGGUGAAAUGCGUAGAGAUCCGGAAGAACACCGGUGGCGAAGGCGGCCUGCUGGGCAGUUGCUGACACUGAUGCGCGACAGCGUGGGGAGCAAACAGGG
rnacentral:rRNA from 1 species